rnacentral:rRNA from 1 species
GAUGAACGCUGGCGGCGUGCUUAACACAUGCAAGUCGAACGGGAAACCUUUUAUUGAAGCUUCGGCAGAUUUAGCUGGUUUCUAGUGGCGGACGGGUGAGUAACGCGUGGGUAACCUGCCCUAUACAGGGGGAUAACAACCAGAAAUGGUUGCUAAUACCGCAUAAGCGCACAGGGCCGCAUGGUCCGGUGUGAAAAACUCCGGUGGUAUAGGAUGGACCCGCGUUGGAUUAGCCAGUUGGCAGGGUAACGGCCUACCAACGCGACGAUCCAUAGCCGGCCUGAGAGGGUGAACGGCCACAUUGGGACUGAGACACGGCCCAGACUCCUACGGGAGGCAGCAGUGGGGAAUAUUGCACAAUGGGGGAAACCCUGAUGCAGCGACGCCGCGUGAAGGAAGAAGUAUCUCGGUAUGUAAACUUCUAUCAGAAGGGAAGAUAGUGACGGUACCUGACUAAGAAGCCCCGGCUAACUACGUG